AUUGAACGCUGGCGGCAUGCUUUACACAUGCAAGUCGAACGGUAACAGGCCGCAAGGUGCUGACGAGUGGCGAACGGGUGAGUAAUGCAUCGGAACGUGCCCAGUCGUGGGGGAUAACGCAGCGAAAGCUGUGCUAAUACCGCAUACGAUCUAUGGAUGAAAGCGGGGGACCGUAAGGCCUCGGGCGAUUGGAGCGGCAGAUGUCAGAUUAGGUAGUUGGUGGGGUAAAGGCCCACCAAGCCAACGAUCUGUAGCUGGUCUGAGAGGACGAGCAGCCACACUGGGACUGAGACACGGCCCCGACUCCUACGGGAGGCAGCAGUUGUGAAUUUUAGACAAUGGUCGCAAGCCUGAUCCAGCAAUGCCGCGUGCAGGAAGAAGGCCUUCGGUUUGUAAACUGCUUUUGUACGGAACGAAAAGGUUUGGGUUAAUACCCUGGGCCGAUGACGGUACCGUAAGAAUAAGCACCGGCUAACUACGUGCCAGCCGCCGCGGUAA
rnacentral:rRNA from 1 species